AUAAUACUCCAUAGAUUAGAGACACUGGAAUGUUCUUUAGUCGAAAGUUCUGGCGCCUUAGGAUGGAUCUGCGGUCGAUUAGGUUGUUGUUGGGGUAACGGCCCAACAAGCCUGUAAUCGAUACGGGUUGUGGGAGCAAGAGCCCGGAGAUGGAAUCUGAGACACGAUUCCAGGCCCUACGGGGCGCAGCAGGCGCGAAAACUUUACAAUGCAGGAAACUGUGAUAAGGGAACUCCGAGUGCCCGUAUACGCGGGCUGUCCAGGUGUUUAAAAAUCAUCUGAAGAAAGGGCCGGGCAAGACCGGUGCCAGCCGCCGCGGUAAUACCGGCGGCUCGAGUGGUGGCCACUAUUAUUGGGCUUAAAGCGUCCGUAGCUGGACCGAUAAGUCUCUUGGGAAAUCCGCCGGCUCAACCGGCGGGCGUCUAAGGGAUACUGUUAGUCUAGGGACCGGGAGAGGUGAGAGGUACUCCGGGGGUAGGAGUGAAAUCCUGUAAUCCCCGGGGGACCACCGAUGGCGAAGGCAUCUCACCAGAACGGCUCCGGCAGUGAGGGACGAAAGCUGGGGGAGCGAACCGGAUUAGAUACCCGGGGUAGUCCCAGCCGUAAACUAUGCGCGUUAGGUGU
rnacentral:rRNA from 1 species